rnacentral:rRNA from 1 species
GAAUCUGGCGUGGCCCCAGUCCAUGCCGGUUACAUGGCCUGGAACACGGCCCGGGCCUUCGUGGGUAAGGACAAGUCCCGCCCGGUGCCCGAGCACCUGCGCAAUGCGCCGACGAAACUGAUGAAGGAACUGGGCUACGGUAAGACCUACCGCUACGCCCAUGACGAGCCGGAGGCCUACGCCGCCGGGGAAAACUACCUGCCCGAGGGCAUGGGCGAACCCGGCUGGUACCAGCCCGUGCCCCGGGGGCUGGAGGCGAAGAUCGCCGACAAGCUGGCCCAUCUGCGCGCCCUGGACCGAGCCGCCGGGAAGGAGGACUAGCAUGGGGCGCCGCUUGCUGUUGUUGCUGGCGGGGCUGCUCUGGUCCCUGGGGGGAUGGGCGGCCGAUGAUCUGUGCCUGGAGCAGGAACAGGUGCUGUUUGCCUGCCAUACGGGCAAGCGCCUGGUGUCGGUGUGCGCUUCCCGGGAGCUGAGCGAGUCGGCCGGCUACCUGCAGCUGCGCUAUGGCCAGCCCGAGGCGGUGGAGCUGGCCUGGCCCGAGGCAUCCUUCCCCCGCCUGCACGUGAGCCAGGGGGAGUUGUUCUACAGGGGCAAGGCGGGGCGCUACCUGCGCUUCACCAUGGACCGGACCCGCUUCGUGGUGUUCAGCGUCAAGGACCGGGACAGCGGCCUGGUGAUCGAACAGGACCGGGCGGUGAUCAGCAAGCAGCUCUGCCAGGGGCGGCCCACGCUUCAUCUCCAGGGGCUGCCCCUGCCCGUGACCGAGCUCCUGGCGGUGAGCAGCCGCUAGCCGCAGCUAGCGGACGAUGGGAAAACCCGA